rnacentral:rRNA from 1 species
CUUACCAUGCAGUCGAACGAUGAAGCCCAGCUUGCUGGGUGGAUUAGUGGCGAACGGGUGAGUAACACGUGAGUAACCUGCCCUUGACUCUGGGAUAAGCCUGGGAAACUGGGUCUAAUACCGGAUAGGAACGUCCACCGCAUGGUGGGUGUUGGAAAGAUUUAUCGGUCAUGGAUGGACUCGCGGCCUAUCAGCUUGUUGGUGAGGUAAUGGCUCACCAAGGCGACGACGGGUAGCCGGCCUGAGAGGGUGACCGGCCACACUGGGACUGAGACACGGCCCAGACUCCUACGGGAGGCAGCAGUGGGGAAUAUUGCACAAUGGGCGAAAGCCUGAUGCAGCGACGCCGCGUGAGGGAUGACGGCCUUCGGGUUGUAAACCUCUUCAGUAGGGAAGAAGCGAAAGUGACGGUACCUUGCAGAAGAAAGCACCGGGCUAACUACGUGGCCAGCAGCCGCGGUAAUACGUAGGGUGCGAGCGUUAUCCGGGAAUUAUUGGGCGUAAAGAGCUCGUAGGCGGUUUGUCGCGUCUGUCGUGAAAGUCCGGGGCUUAACCCCGGAUCUGCGGUGGGUACGGGCAGACUAGAGUGCAGUAGGGGAGACUGGAAUUCCUGGUGUAGCGGUGGAAUGCGCAGAUAUCAGGAGGAACACCGAUGGCGAAGGCAGGUCUCUGGGCUGUAACUGACGCUGAGGAGCGAAAGCAUGGGGAGCGAACAGGAUUAGAUACCCUGGUAGUCCAUGCCGUAAACGUUGGGCACUAGGUGUGGGGACCAUUCCACGGUUUCCGCGCCGCAGCUAACGCAUUAAGUGCCCCGCCUGGGGAGUACGGCCGCAAGGCUAAAACUCAAAGGAAUUGACGGGGGCCCGCACAAGCGGCGGAGCAUGCGGAUUAAUUCGAUGCAACGCGAAGAACCUUACCAAGGCUUGACAUGUUCUCGAUCGCCGUAGAGAUACGGUUUCCCCUUUGGGGCGGGAUCACAGGUGGUGCAUGGUUGUCGUCAGCUCGUGUCGUGAGAUGUUGGGUUAAGUCCCGCAACGAGCGCAACCCUCGUUCCAUGUUGCCAGCACGUAAUGGUGGGGACUCAUGGGAGACUGCCGGGGUCAACUCGGAGGAAGGUGGGGACGACGUCAAAUCAUCAUGCCCCUUAUGUCUUGGGCUUCACGCAUGCUACAAUGGCCGGUACAAUGGGUUGCGAUACUGUGAGGUGGAGCUAAUCCCAAAAAGCCGGUCUCAGUUCGGAUUGGGGUCUGCAACUCGACCCCAUGAAGUCGGAGUCGCUAGUAAUCGCAGAUCAGCAACGCUGCGGUGAAUACGUUCCCGGGCCUUGUACACACCGCCCGUCAAGUCACGAAAGUCGGUAACACCCGAAGCCGGUGGCCUAACCCUUGUGGGGGAGCCGUCGAAGGUGACCACCAUGCC